rnacentral:rRNA from 1 species
AGAAUUUUUCACAAUGGGCGAAAGCCUGAUGGAGCGACGCCGCGUGGGGGAUGAAUGGCUUCGGCCCGUAAACCCCUGUCAUUUGCGAACAAACCUUGUCAUUUAAAAGAUGACGAGCUGAUUGUAGCGAAAGCGGAAGGGACGGCUAACUCUGUGCCAGCAGCCGCGGUAAUCCAGAGGUCCCAAGCGUUGUUCGGAUUCACUGGGCGUAAAGGGUGCGUAGGUGGUCGGGUAAGUCUGAUGUGAAAUCUCCGAGCUCAACUCGGAAACUGCAUCGGAUACUAUUCGGCUCGAGGGUUGGAGGGGGGACUGGAAUACUUGGUGUAGCAGUGAAAUGCGUAGAUAUCAAGUGGAACACCAGUGGCGAAGGCGAGUCCCUGGACAACUCCUGACACUGAGGCACGAAAGCUAGGGGAGCAAAC